rnacentral:rRNA from 1 species
UACAGAGGGUGCGAGCGUUGUCCGGAAUCACUGGGCGUAAAGGGCGCGUAGGCGGCUUGAUAAGGUUGCGGUGAAAGCCCGGGGCUCAACCCCGGGUCGGCCGUGGCAACUGUCGAGCUGGAGCACUGUAGAGGCAGGUGGAAUUCCCGGUGUAGCGGUGAAAUGCGCAGAUAUCGGGAGGAACACCAAUUGCGAAGGCAGCUCGCUGGGACGUAACUGACGCUGAGACGCGAAAGCGUGGGGAGCAAACAGG